AGAGUUUGAUCAUGGCUAAGGAUAAACACUGUAAGUCGAAGCAAAAUAUGCGAGUUUAAUCAUGGCCUAGUCGUAUCAAGGUAAAUAUUAAAAUAACGUGUGAGAAUGUUCCUAAUGGACUGGGACAACGGUUGGAAACGGUGGCUAAUACCAGAUAUGAAGUAAGUGAAAAGGUUAAUUCCGCCAUUAUAUGAUGUCGCGUCAGAUUAACUAGUUGGUGAGGUAACGGCUUACCAAGGCAACGAUCUGUGGCUGGUUUGAGAGGACGACCAGCCACACUGGGACUGAGACACGGCCCAGACUCCUACGGGAGGCAGCAGUGAGGAAUUUUCCGCAAUGGGCGAAAGCCUGACGGAGUAAUACCGCGUGCGGGAGGAAGGUCUAUUGACUGUAAACCGCUUUUAUUAGGAAAGAAUUCUGACGGUACUUAAUGAAUAAGCCUCGGGCUAACUCCGUGCCAGCAGCCCCGGGUAAGACGGGAGGAGGGCAAGCGUUAUCCGGAAUUUUUUGGGGCGUAAAAGCGGCCCUUAGGGGGGGGAAUGGAAGUCUUGCUUUCAAAGCCCCUGGGCUCCACCCCCGGAAAGGGGAGUGGGAACCUACUUUUUCUGGGGUGGACUAAGGGGCAAGGGGAAUUUCCCCGUGGGACGGGGAAAA
rnacentral:rRNA from 1 species